GUGGGGAAUUUUCCGCAAUGGGCGAAAGCCUGACGGAGCAAUACCGCGUGAGGGAGGAAGGCUCUUGGGUUGUAAACCUCUUUUCUCAGGGAAUAAUAAUGAAGGUACCUGAGGAAUCAGCAUCGGCUAACUCCGUGCCAGCAGCCGCGGUAAUACGGAGGAUGCAAGCGUUAUCCGGAAUGAUUGGGCGUAAAGGGUCCGCAGGUGGCAGUGUAAGUCUGCUGUUAAAGAGUCUGGCUCAACCAGAUCAAGGCAGUGGAAACUACACAGCUAGAGUGAGGUAGGGGCAGAGGGAAUUCCUGGUGUAGCGGUGAAAUGCGUAGAGAUCAGGAAGAACACCGGUGGCGAAAGCGCUCUGCUAGACCAAUACUGACACUGAGGGACGAAAGCUAGGGGAGCGAAUGGGAUUAGAUACCCCAGUAGUCCUAGCCGUAAACGAUGGAUACUAGGCGUUGCUUGUAUCGACCCGAGCAGUGCCGUAGCUAACGCGUUAAGUAUCCCGCCUGGGGAGUACGCACGCAAGUG
rnacentral:rRNA from 1 species